GAUAAACGCUGGCGGCGUGCCUAACACAUGCAAGUCGAACGCCCUUUUGCGCAAGUGAGAGGGAGUGGCGGACGGGUGAGUACCACGUGGGUACCUACCUUGAGGUGAGGAAUACCACCGAGAAAUCGGUGACAAGACCGCAUACGCUCGGGCAACCGAGCAAAGUCAUGCAAAUGACGCCACAAGAUGAGCCUGCGCCUGAUUAGCUGGUUGGUGAGGAACAGCUCACCAAGGCGACGAUCAGUAGCUGGUCUGAGAGGAUGAUCAGCCACACUGGGAUUGA
rnacentral:rRNA from 1 species